UACGUAGGCGGAUCAAUAAGUCAGUGGUGAAAUCUCUCGGCUCAACCGGGAAACUGCCAUUGAUACUGUUGAUCUUGAGUUCGGUUGAGGUAGGCGGAAUGUGUAAUGUAGCGGUGAAAUGCUUAGAUAUUACACAGAACACCAAUUGCGUAGGCAGCUUACUAGACCGACACUGACGCUGAGGCACGAAAGCGUGGGGAGCGAACAGGAUUAGAUACCCUGGUAGUCC
rnacentral:rRNA from 1 species